GCCGAGGUGAUGAAACUGGUAAACAUGCACGGUUCAGAGCCGUGUGCCCUUUAAGGCUUGUGGGUUCGAAUCCCAUCCUCGGCA
rfam:Parcubacteria group bacterium CG2_30_36_38 cg2_3.0_scaffold_5652_c, whole genome shotgun sequence.